ensembl:lncRNA acidic mammalian chitinase-like
UCUGCUUGCUCCUUGAAAAAUACAGACGCCCUGCCUUAACACAUGGGAAAGAUGGGGGGGGGUGUCUCAGGGGAAAACAAUCACCUGUAGCCAGCCAAAGCACAGUGAAGUUAGCCGGGAGAGGAAUCCCACUGAGCUGACGGACUGCAGGACACAUCUAUAACAACGAGAAAGAAACAAUCCUUUUUUUUUUUUAAGGGAAACAGGCUCGCUGCUUUGAGUGGCUUGUGCUCCUCCGAAAAGGGCCCCCCUCCAUGCCUCAUGCUUUCUUUGCCAAGACCCCCCUCCCUUGGUUUGCCACCGGUGGACCCUCCGCUUCUGAUUUCCCUGCCUUUGCCAGCGCCUCGCUUGCUUUGCCUUCCCCUCACCCUUGCCUCGUCCGGGGCCAGCGCCGCUACCGGCUCCGGCAACGCCUCCGCCUCUCCUCCAGCCACUCCGGUGGAGCCAGCCUCCUCCUCUCCAGAACAGCAGCCAGCUCCCCAGUCCCAUUGAGUUUCUCAGGGGAGUCGAUCCUUUGCUUGGGAAAAAAAAGCACCAGGAGCUGUGAGCGGCCGGUGCUUCUGCAAAGAGGGCUGCAAGCCAGCGGCAGCAGCGCGGGUGUCAGGAUGGGGAAGUUACCAUUGAGGACAGCUUCUGCCUACAAGCUGGUGUGUUAUGUCACUAACUGGGAUCAAUACAGGAAAGGAUCAGCCAAGUUCACACCAGAUAAUGUAGACCCUUACUUGUGUACCCAUCUGAUCUUUGCUUUUGCUGGCAUACAAAAUAACCAAAUUACUACUACAGAAUGGAAUGAUGAAUUACUUUACAGGCAGCUCAAUGCCUUAAAGAAGAAAAAUAACAUGCUGCUCACAUUGCUGGCUGUUGGAGGAGGCACCUUUGAUAAUGAGAAGUUCAUCACCAUUGUAUCCUCUCCAACAAAUCGCCAGAUAUUCAUCACAUCAGUGAUAAACUUACUCCGAACAUAUGGUUUCGAUGGUUUGGAUCUUGACUGGGAAUAUCCUGGUUCCAAAGGGAGCCCCCCAGAGGAUAAACAUCGCUUCACUGUUUUGACUCAGGAAAUCUCAGCUGCUUUUAGGAAGGAAAGUGAAGCAACAGGAUGCCCACGACUAUUGCUUUCUGCAGCAGUGGCUUCCAACAAAUAUACCAUUGAUGCUGGAUAUGAAAUUGCAGCCCUUGGGAAGAGUUUGGAUUUUAUUAAUGUGAUGACAUAUGACUUCCAUGGAAGUUGGGCACCUGUAACAGGACACAACAGCCCUCUCUAUAAGGGCUCACAUGACUAUGAUCCAGUUCCUUUCUACAACUGCGAAUAUGCCAUGAAAUACUGGAAAGACAACGGAGCCCCUCCUGAGAAACUCAUGAUGGGAUUUCCAACAUAUGGACGAUCCUUCAAACUUUCUGGUACAGAUACUGGAGUUGGUGCUUCAGCCUCUGGUGGAGGCUCUCCUGGAGCCUAUACCAGGCAGUCUGGUAUCUUGGCAUAUUAUGAGGUCUGUGAUUUUUUAAAUGGAGCUACCAAGGCAUGGAUUGAAGAGCAGAAAGUUCCUUAUGCUUUCAAAGAUGGUGAAUGGGUUGGAUAUGACAAUGAAAGGAGUUUUCAGUUAAAAGCUGAGUUCUUGAAGAGAGAACAAUAUGGAGGAGCUGUGGUUUGGACUCUUGGCAUGGAUGAUUUCUCUGGCACCUUCUGUGGUCAAGGACCCAAUGUCCUUGUUAAUAAACUAAAAGACACCUUCAAAAACUGAGGCCCAGUCUGUCUGAAGAAGCAUCUGUCAGCUCUCAUUUGUUCCUGCUGUAUUUCUGAUCUCAUUUUUGGAGGAUCUCUGGAUACCACUACCAGCAAUGGCAUGAUGGACAGCUAUUGGAAGUCUUUUCAAUACUGGUCACCAACUCUGGAAUACCUUCCCAAAGGAG